GGAUGUGAGGGCGAUCUGGCUGUGACAUCUGUCAGCUCAUUGAUUACCAGGGUUGAUUUGGCUGAUCUGGCUGGCUAGGCGGGUGUCCCCUUCCUCCCUCACCACUCCAUGUGUGUCCCUCCCAAAGAGGCAUACUCGGUUGGAGAGGACGACCUUUCCUGAUAGAGGAGAGCACCAUUCUUAGGUCAAGGAUAUACGAGUUAGCUGCGCUCCCCUGCUAGAACCUCCAAACAAGCUCUCCAAGUCUUUGUGAAAUAUUGUGAUGAAUUUUUUUUUUUACCUGGUAAAUAUCCCUUCACAAUGAUUAAUUAGAUCUAAAG
rnacentral:snRNA from 1 species